GACGAACCGUCCUAACGUUGUUCGGAAUCACUGGGCUUAAAGGGCGCGUAGGCGGGCUGGACAGUCCGGGGUGAAAUCUUUCGGCUUAACCGGAAAAGGGCCUUGGAUACUGCCAGUCUCGAGGGAGGUAGGGGCAUGUGGAACUGCGGGUGGAGCGGUGAAAUGCGUUGAUAUCCGCAGGAACGCCGGUGGCGAAAGCGACGUGCUGGACCUCUACUGACGCUGAGGCGCGAAAGCCAGGGGAGCGAACGGG
rnacentral:rRNA from 1 species